rnacentral:lncRNA from 1 species
UUGUACUCAAGACGUAAUAUAUUCUUCCCUUCCCUCCACUCUUUAUCAUGAAACCCUCAAACCCUGUCACAUGGCUGUCAGAGGAAGUCGGUGUGGUUUGCUAACAGCCAAGAGACAGUCAAAACCUCUCCCCAAGCAAAGAUGGGGUCUUCAGGGGCAAUGUUUCCUGCGGGUGCCCAUUUGAUGCGAAGUGUCUCAGAUCACAGGAUUCCAAGGAUAAUCAGGCAUUGCCAAAGCAGCCAGGAUGUCUCCAGGUCACAGGAUUCCAAAGGUAUAUAUUUUCCUCUAUUUUUAGAAUAUUUUUGAAAAAAUAAUACCAGAGUCCCAAUUUUGUCGACAUAAUUGCCUCAGUUUUCCACUUGAGGAGUGAGGUUUCAGUGGUAAGAUACAAGGUAAAUCAAAUGUUCUUCUUGUUCUUUAUAUUUUACAUUGUGACAAAUUUAUACUGUUUCUUAAGACUUACAUUUAACGAGAUGUCCCAUUUCCUGAAAGUCCUGCCAACUAGUUACUACUUUUGAACCUGGUGCGGCAACAUACUAACCCUGUAAGUCCUCUUAACUAUAUUCCAAACCUUUAUUUGAGCUAAAUUUCCUACCUUCAGGCUGUUUCAUUUGCAGAAUUUUACCUUAUUGCCUGUUAAGUAUAUGGCCAACCCUUAAUUAUUCAGAAACCUAAAAUUCAGCAUUGCUUCUAUACUUUGUUCAUUCAUGUUUGGUUAGCACUUCCUGCUCAGGAAAAACAAGGCAUAUUUUGUACUGUGGAGGUGGAAAGGACCAACCACCAAGAAUCUUAAUUAUUAUCUCUGGUUUAUGGUGUAGAAAAUACCAGAAGAAAUAGUAAUGCACUUAGCAUUACUGAAUUUCAGUGAUUAUAGCUUUUGAGGCUCACCAGAAAAAAAAAAGUGUUAUGCAAAUUUACCUCUUUCUCUUCUUUAUUUCCCUUCCCCAGCAAAAACAGUAUAAAUUGUUAAAAGUCUUCUGGUGACUUGUCAUAUUUGGCACUAGUUUAAUUGGUCUUGGCAAGUGUAUUUUAGUGACUCAUAAGAGAAUACUUUUAGUCUCUUUACUAACAGAUGCCUGUGCUAAAAGCAAUGACAACAAUGUCACAUGGCUAUAAAAUUGCAGGAAUUUGCUGCCGGUGGUCCAAUAAAAACAAACUUGUAUGAAAAGACA